rnacentral:rRNA from 1 species
GCAUCAUGAGUUCACAUGUUCACAUGAUUAAAGGUAUUCCGGUAGACGAUGGGGAUGCGUUCCAUUAGAUAGUAGGCGGGGUAACGGCCCACCUAGUCUUCGAUGGAUAGGGGUUCUGAGAGGAAGGUCCCCCCACAUUGGAACUGAGACACGGUCCAAACUCCUACGGGAGGCAGCAGUGAGGAAUAUUGGUCAAUGGGCGAGAGCCUGAACCAGCCAAGUAGCGUGAAGGAUGACUGCCCUAUGGGUUGUAAACUUCUUUUAUAAAGGAAUAAAGUCGGGUAUGUAUACCCGUUUGCAUGUACUUUAUGAAUAAGGAUCGGCUAACUCCGUGCCAGCAGCCGCGGUAAUACGGAGGAUCCGAGCGUUAUCCGGAUUUAUUGGGUUUAAAGGGAGCGUAGAUGGAUGUUUAAGUCAGUUGUGAAAGUUUGCGGCUCAACCGUAAAAUUGCAGUUGAUACUGGAUGUCUUGAGUGCAGUUGAGGCAGGCGGAAUUCGUGGUGUAGCGGUGAAAUGCUUAGAUAUCACGAAGAACUCCGAUUG